AAACUAACUAGGAUUCCCUUAGUAACGGCGAGUGAACCGGGAUGAGCUCAAAUUUAAAAUCUGGCGUCUUUCAGGCGUCCGAGUUGUAAUCUAUAGAGGCGUUUUCCGCGCCGGACCGCGUCCAAGUCUCUUGGAAUAGAGUAUCAAAGAGGGUGACAAUCCCGUCCUUGACAUGAACUACCAGUGCUCUGUGAUACAUUUUCAACGAGUCGAGUUGUUUGGGAAUGCAGCUCAAAAUGGGUGGUAAAUUCCAUCUAAAGCUAAAUAUUGGCGAGAGACCGAUAGCGAACAAGUACCGUGAGGGAAAGAUGAAAAGCACUUUGGAAAGAGAGUUAAACAGUAUGUGAAAUUGUUGAAAGGGAAACGAUUGAAGUCAGUCGUGCUCUUUGGAUUCAGCCGGUUCUGCCGGUGUACUUCCUUUGAGUGGGGUCAACAUCAGCUUUGAUCGCUGGAUAAAGGCUGGAGGAACGUAGUACCCUCGGGUAAACUUAUAGCCUCCUGUCACAUACAGUGGUUGGGACUGAGGAACGCAGCACGCCUUUAUGGCCGGGAUUCGUCCACGUACGUGCUUAGGAUGUUGACAUAAUGGCUUUAAACGAC
rnacentral:rRNA from 1 species